UACAGAGACUGCAAGCGUUAUUCGGAUUCACUGGGCGUAAAGGGCGCGUAGGCGGCCACUGCAAGUCAGUUGUGAAAUCUCCGGGCUUAACCCGGAAAGGUCAACUGAUACUGCAGGGCUAGAGUGCAGAAGGGGCAACUGGAAUUCUCGGUGUAGCGGUGAAAUGCGUAGAUAUCGAGAGGAACACCUGCGGCGAAGGCGGGUUGCUGGGCUGACACUGACGCUGAGGCGCGAAAGCCAGGGGAGCGAACGGG
rnacentral:rRNA from 1 species